AGAGGUUGCUUCAGUGAACAUUCAACGCUGUCGGUGAGUUUGGAAUUCAAAUCAAAACCAUCGACCGUUGAUUGUACCCUAUGGCCAACCAUCAGCU
rnacentral:miRNA from 1 species